AAAUCGAAUAGUCGCGUAUGUAAACUGUGAAGUUGCAUAUGAGGAAAGUCCGGGCUCCACAGAGCAAUAAUGCUGGAUAACGUCCAGUAAAGGAAACUUUAAGGAAAGUGCAACAGAAAAUAACCGCCUUUUAUAUAUAAAAGGUAAGGGUGAAAAAGUGAGGUAAGAGCUCACUAAUUUCUAUGGUGACAUAGAAGUUGUGUAAACCCCAUUUGGAGCAACAUCUUAAAAGAAAGAUUAAGGCUGCUCGCCGACUUUCGCCAAGGUGGCACGAGAUAUGUAGUAAUACAUAUCCUAGAUAAAUGACUAUUCAAGACAGAACCCGGCUUACAGAUUUACUUA
rnacentral:RNase_P_RNA from 1 species